rnacentral:rRNA from 1 species
GCAUGUUCACAUGAUUAAAGGUAUUCCGGUAGACGAUGGGGAUGCGUUCCAUUAGAUAGUAGGCGGGGUAACGGCCCACCUAGUCUUCGAUGGAUAGGGGUUCUGAGAGGAAGGUCCCCCACAUUGGAACUGAGACACGGUCCAAACUCCUACGGGAGGCAGCAGUGAGGAAUAUUGGUCAAUGGGCGAGAGCCUGAACCAGCCAAGUAGCGUGAAGGAUGACUGCCCUAUGGGUUGUAAACUUCUUUUAUAAAGGAAUAAAGUCGGGUAUGCAUACCUGUUUGCAUGUACUUUAUGAAUAAGGAUCGGCUAACUCCGUGCCAGCAGCCGCGGUAAUACGGAGGAUCCGAGCGUUAUCCGGAUUUAUUGGGUUUAAAGGGAGCGUAGAUGGAUGUUUAAGUCAGUUGUGAAAGUUUGCGGCUCAACCGUAAAAUUGCAGUUGAUACUGGAUAUCUUGAGUGCAGUUGAGGCAGGCGGAAUUCGUGGUGUAGCGGUGAAAUGCUUAGAUAUCACGAAGAACUCCGAUUGCGAAGGCAGCCUGCUAAGCUGCAACUGACAUUGAGGCUCGAAAGUGUGGGUAUCAAACAGGAUUAGAUACCCUGGUAGUCCACACGGUAAACGAUGAAUACUCGCUGUUUGCGAUAUACAGCAAGCGGCC